rnacentral:rRNA from 1 species
UGGGGAAUAUUGGACAAUGGGCGAAAGCCUGAUCCAGCCAUGCCGCGUGUGUGAAGAAGGUCUUCGGAUUGUAAAGCACUUUAAGUUGGGAGGAAGGGCAUUAACCUAAUACGUUAGUGUUUUGACGUUACCGACAGAAUAAGCACCGGCUAACUCUGUGCCAGCAGCCGCGGUAAUACAGAGGGUGCAAGCGUUAAUCGGAAUUACUGGGCGUAAAGCGCGUGUAGGUGGUUUGUUAAGUUGGAUGUGAAAUCCCCGGGCUCAACCUGGGAACUGCAUUCAAAACUGACUGACUAGAGUAUGGUAGAGGGUGGUGGAAUUUCCUGUGUAGCGGUGAAAUGCGUAGAUAUAGGAAGGAACACCAGUGGCGAAGGCGACCACCUGGACUAAUACUGACACUGAGGUGCGAAAGCGUGGGGAGCAAACA